UUGUCAGGUGGGAUAAUCCUUACCUGUGCCUCCUUUUGGAGGGCAGAUAGAAAAUGAUGAUUGGAACAUAGGAUGACACGUGCUGCAUAGUCAGGACUUGCAACACCCUGAUUGCUCCUGUCUGAU
ensembl:snoRNA U8 U8 small nucleolar RNA